rnacentral:lncRNA from 10 species
AGGACAGAUAAAGCUCUGGCCAAGGCCUUAUUCUUGCUAUUUGCUGAUUUAUUUGUUCAAUGCUGGUCUCCCACACUAGACCAUGAGCAGGAAGGAGAGGCAGCAUGCAACUGUGCUCGUUGUCUACACAGGGCCUAGCACUGGGCCUGGGCCAGGGCAGGCACCUGGGAGGGCCUUGGUUUCUGAGGCUGAGAGAGGAUAAGCUAAGCAAGGGGCAGAACAGGACACCAACCAUCUCCAGACCCCAGUACAACACAGAUGGCAGGCCAAAGAGGGACUGUGUCGUCUGAUUCAAGAGUACAGACUACACAGCCAGAAUAAUCGGGGCCUGGCUUGGACUCUCUUUAAAUAUUCAUUCCUCAUCUGUAAAAUGAGCAUAUGAGUCCCACUUCACCAGACUGUAGGACAUACGUGAAGGACUCUGC